ensembl:lncRNA NUTM2A-AS1 NUTM2A antisense RNA 1
GCGCAGCUCGUCCGGCCCGCCCGCAGGCCAGCUUCUCUCGGGAGCCUCCACCCAGGCGCAUGGCUCCAUGAAGCAAGAGGAGGAGGCAGAGCGCGAGAGAUCCCGUCCGCCCCAGCCGCGUCUGGGCCAGGAGAAAAGCAAAACCAUAUUCCUGCUGCUGUCAGUUUUGAUGCACUGAGAAAACUUCAGAGACCUAAGCUUUUUCCAGAGAAGAGAAGCUUUACUGGUGUUCCAGCCCUAAGGCUCAUAUGACAUUAACAGACAAGACACUUUUCAGAAAGACAGGCAACGUGUUGGACCUUCCGGAGCUUCUCAGAAGACAGAGGGUUUUCUUUUGAGAUUCCAGUUCUUUGAUGAAAGUCUCUAUUCCACCCAUCAAGUCUGUGUCUGAUAACACCAAUAUCUGGGUCAUUAGUGGCUCCGUUUUGUUGUGUCUGUUUUCCCCUCCUUCCUGUUUUGUGGUGUGUUUGAUCACUUAUUGUUGAAUGCUAACCAUUAUAAUAAAUUUUAGUGGCUCCAGGAAACA